GACGAACGCUGGCGGCGUGCCUAAUACAUGCAAGUAGAACGCUGAAGAGAGGAGCUUGCUCUUCUUGGAUGAGUUGCGAACGGGUGAGUAACGCGUAGGUAACCUGCCUUGUAGCGGGGGAUAACUAUUGGAAACGAUAGCUAAUACCGCAUAGCAAUGGAUGACACAUGUCAUUUAUUUGAAAGGGGCAAUUGCUCCACUACAAGAUGGACCUGCGUUGUAUUAGCUAGUAGGUGAGGUAAUGGCUCACCUAGGCGACGAUACAUAGCCGACCUGAGAGGGUGAUCGGCCACACUGGGACUGAGACACGGCCCAGACUCCUACGGGAGGCAGCAGUAGGGAAUCUUCGGCAAUGGGGGCAACCCUGACCGAGCAACGCCGCGUGAGUGAAGAAGGUUGUCGGAUCGUAAAGCUCUGUUGUAAGUCAAGAACGGGUGUGAGAGUGGAAAGUUCACACUGUGACGGUAGCUUACCAGAAAGGGACGGCUAACUACGUG
rnacentral:rRNA from 1 species